GAGUUUGAUCCUGGCUCAGGAUGAACGCUAGCGGGAGGCCUAACACAUGCAAGCCGAGCGGUAGAGAUCUUUCGGGAUCUUGAGAGCGGCGUACGGGUGCGGAACACGUGUGCAACCUGCCUUUAUCUGGGGGAUAGCCUUUCGAAAGGAACAUUAAUACCCCAUAAUAUACUGAAUGGCAUCAUUCGGUAUUGAAAACUCCGGUGGAUAGAGAUGGGCACGCGCAAGAUUAGAUAGUUGGUGAGGUAACGGCUCACCAAGUCUACGAUCUUUAGGGGGCCUGAGAGGGUGAUCCCCCACACUGGUACUGAGACACGGACCAGACUCCUACGGGAGGCAGCAGUGAGGAAUAUCGGACAAUGGGUGAGAGCCUGAUCCAGCCAUCCCGCGUGAAGGACGACGGCCCUAUGGGUUGUAAACUUCUUUUGUAUAGGGAUAAACCUACCCUCGUGAGGGUAGCUGAAGGUACUAUACGAAUAAGCACCGGCUAACUCCGUGCCAGCAGCCGCGGUAAUACGGAGGGUGCAAGCGUUAUCCGGGUUUAUUGGGUUUAAAGGGUCCGUAGGCGGAUCUGUAAGUCAGUGGUGAAAUCUCACAGCUUAACUGUGAAACUGCCAUUGAUACUGCAGGUCUUGAGUGUUGUUGAAGUAGCUGGAAUAAGUAGUGUAGCGGUGCAAUGCAUAGAUAUUACUUAGAACACCAAUUGCGAAGGCAGGUUACUAAGCAACAACUGACGCUGAUGGACGAAAGCGUGGGGAGCGAACAGGAUUAGAUACCCUGGUAGUCCACGCCGUAAACGAUGCUAACUCGUUUUUGGAAUGUAAGUUUCAGAGACUAAGCGAAAGUGAUAAGUUAGCCACCUGGGGAGUACGAACGCAAGUUUGAAACUCAAAGGAAUUGACGGGGGCCCGCACAAGCGGUGGAUUAUGUGGUUUAAUUCGAUGAUACGCGAGGAACCUUACCAAGGCUUAAAUGGGAAAUGACAGGUUAAGAAAUAGACUUUUCUUCGGACAUUUUUCAAGGUGCUGCAUGGUUGUCGUCAGCUCGUGCCGUGAGGUGUUAGGUUAAGUCCUGCAACGAGCGCAACCCCUGUCACUAGUUGCCAUCAUUAAGUUGGGGACUCUAGUGAGACUGCCUACGCAAGUAGAGAGGAAGGUGGGGAUGACGUCAAAUCAUCACGGCCCUUACG
rnacentral:rRNA from 1 species